rnacentral:rRNA from 1 species
UUAGUUGAGGAGGCAGUGACUGUGGCAGUGUAGGUGGAAUCAGCGGUGGAGGAGAAGGAUGCCAACACUGUUUUUUAUAUAUAUUUUUUAAUUGGGGUAGCCAACACUGUUUUUUAUAUAUAUUUUUUAAUUGGGGUAGCCCCCAAAAUAUUGGGACAUAUAAAAAAAGACAACUCUGUUCCGCAGAGUAGCUGGUGACAUUAUAGUUGUGCAGGCACUUUGUUGACUCUAGAAAACCUCGGGGCAAUCGCACAUCCCCGUGGCGGCGACUUUGCAUGCGGAUGUCAUCCAUAUGAACUUUCGAUGCCAGUUUCUGCGCCUUCUAUGGUGACCACGGGUAACGGGGAAUCAGGGUUCCAUUCCGUACAGGGACUCUGAGAAACUGCUACCACAUGCAAGGAAGGCAACAGGUGCGCAAAUGACCCACUCCCGACGCGGGAAGUUAGUGACGACAAAUAACAAUACAGGACUCUUUAGAGGCCCUGUAAUUGUAAUGAGUCCACUUGAAAUCCUUUAACUCUGAUCAAUUGGAGGGAAGUCUGGUGCAGAGCCACUGACCCGUGCGUGCUGCAGCUGAAACUCCACU